rnacentral:rRNA from 1 species
GACGUAGGGGGCAAGCGUUGUUCGGAAUUAUUGGGCGUAAAGCGCUCGUAGGCGGGACAGGAAGUUCGUGUUGAAAGACCUCGGCUCAACUGAGGGACCGGCUCGAAUACUCUUGUUCUUGAGGCAAUCAGAGGGUGAUGGAAUUCCCGGUGUAGCGGUGAAAUGCGUUGAUAUCCUAAGGAACACCGGUGGCGAAAGCGGCUCACUGGAUCUCUUCUGACGCUGAGGCACGAAAGCUAGGGUAGCGAACGGG